GGGUGUGCGUAUGAAUGUGUGAUGACCACGUGGCCUGGUCAUUGAGUGGACAGGGACCAAACAGCACGGCCACUCUUACUUUGAAGUUAUAAUUUGGAAGGUAUUGUGUUGGCCAUGAGGAGAUAAUAGAAGUUAGACAGAUGAAAUGGGUCCUGCAAGGGUUGGAUUAUAGACUACUAUUACAGCAGCUGUAAGUUCCUCUUACUUUCAUCUUCCACCUGUUUUUCUCACUGCCUGCCCCUAUUUUUAAAAACAGGUGAUCUCCCAGCUUCCGAGAUGCCAUAGAAAUGUUUUCCGUUACUUGAUGGCAUUCCUUCGAGAACUCUUAAAAUUCUCUGAAUACAAUAGCGUCAAUGCCAACAUGAUCGCUACUCUCUUCACUAGUCUUCUCCUGAGGCCUCCACCCAACCUUAUGGCAAGACAGACUCCAAGUGACCGCCAGCGUGCUAUUCAGUUCCUUCUGGGCUUUCUGCUUGGGAGCGAAGAAGACUAAGGCUUUUACUGUUCUCUGAUAUUCUAGAAGCAGACGAUCUCGGGCUCCAAGUAUUUCAGAAUGAUUUAAAAAGUCAUGCCACAGGAAGGGUCUAUUGCAGAAUUUCAAGUUCUGUUUAUAGUAAAAAGGAAGAGCGUUUCCUAAUCCCUCCUUUACCAUAUCCUACACAGAAAAAUACUUUUAGACUUAUAUUGCCAAGCCAAAGUUACCAUAUUUUGGUGUUUUUGUGUUUUCUCUUUAUAAGGCAAAAAGAUCUGUAUUUACACUCCUUCACCUAGGGAUGUGUUUGUUGCCCUCCUACCCAAUUGUCAUGAUUGUCCUUAGUACCCUAGGCCUAGAUUCUGAGAUCUUCCCAUUCUAGGC
rnacentral:lncRNA from 1 species